rnacentral:lncRNA from 1 species
AGGGGAAGCGCGGCCGCCCCGGGUUAGACACGCGUCUGUUUGCUUGCAGAUGUGCACACACUGUCUCCGGCUUCUUCUGUGGCUUGGUAGAAGCCCCAGCUUUUUAACUUAUUAAGCACAGCUCUUCCCUCUGUAGGACUGCAGGCAGGACAGUCCUCUUCCCGGGCUCACCGCAACAUUCAGUAGCUGCUUUGAAGGAACAGAAUAAGGUUGCCACAUGCCAGUCUGUCCUCCGAUCACUUCAGGGUUCCACUCACCGUGGGUUCAAGGCUUCUUUGAUUCUUUGUUUCCUUUAGUUUUCAUUCUCUCCUCUUCAGAACAAGAGUAGAUGGUUCGGUGUAUGCAAAUAUCACAGUUCCAGCAGAAACCCACACCUGUGACUGAUGGGAGUGGUGGACAAAUACCCACAACUUCCUCUCUCUACUCUUGGCUGAGGACAAUUCUGAAGUGAGCCCUACACUGUCUCCCAGAUGCAGUCUGACCUGAGCCAUGAAGAAGUGCAGAGUCCCCAAGAGGCCAGAGAGCUCACGUCUGGUUAGAGUCGGGGUGUUUGAUGGGAAGAUGAAAGGAGGAGCUGGCAUCUGAGGAAAUCAACAUUCAAGGGGAGACCCAAUGAAGAAGAUAGUGCCAGAACUUAAUGGAGGCAGCCCAAGAGGAACGUGUACCUGGGGAAGUCAAGAGCUAUUUCUUGGACAUUUGUGCCUCUAUUCCAAACUCUUCUCUCAGAGUAGAUGACAACUCAGGAAGGAGCCAGAGAUCUUCCUCAGUUGACUUGUUCAGAAAUAUGAUUUGGGAUUCAGUCUGGCCCGAA